UACGUAGGGGACUAGCGUUGUUCGGAAUUACUGGGCGUAAAGCGCACGUAGGCGGUUUGUUAAGUCAGGGGUGAAAUCCUGGAGCUCAACUCCAGAACUGCCUUUGAUACUGGCGAUCUUGAGUUCGGGAGAGGUGAGUGGAACUGCGAGUGUAGAGGUGAAAUUCGUAGAUAUUCGCAAGAACACCAGUGGCGAAGGCGGCUCACUGGCCCGAUACUGACGCUGAGGUGCGAAAGCGUGGGGAGCAAACAGG
rnacentral:rRNA from 1 species